rnacentral:misc_RNA from 1 species
AGCAGCCGCGGUAAUUCCAGCUCCAAUAGCGUAUAUUAAAGUUGUUGCAGUUAAAAAGCUCGUAGUUGAAUUUCGGAGUUCUACCGUCGGUCGGGCUACCAAGUCUGUACUGGUGUGUAGAAUUCCUACCUUCUGGGGAACUAUCAUGUUAUUAAUUUAGCGUGGUGGGAAACCAGGACUUUUACCUUGAAAAAAUUAGAGUGUUCAAAGCAGGCUUAUGUCUGAAUACAUUAGCAUGGAAUAAUAGAAUAGGACGGUGGUCCUGUCUUGUUGGUUUCUGAAUCACCGUAAUGAUUAAUAGGGAUAGUUGGGGGCAUUAGUAUUCAAUUGUCAGAGGUGAAAUUCUUGGAUUUAUUGAAGACUAACUUCUGCGAAAGCAUUUGCCAAGGAUGUUUUCAUUAAUCAAGAACGAAAGUUAGGGGAUCGAAGACGAUCAGAUACCGUCGUAGUCUUAACCAUAAACUAUGCCGACUAGGGAUCGGACGAUGUUAAAUUUUAUUGACUCGUUCGGCGCCUUACG